UAAAGUAACUGACGAUAACGUAUUUCAUAGUCUUACUGUGAUACAAAGUCUUCAAAAACUUCAAGGGAAAACGCAAUUUAAUCGUAUCAGAAUAACAACAUGGUUAAACGUUUCAUUUUUCUUAUUAUAUACUGCCAUUUCAAUUUAGGACGUGACGUACGCGGUCAAAUGGCAUGUUGGGAAGGCAGCAAUGUCCUAGAUAGUUGUGAUGGUCGCGUAAUUUCCAAUAAUAACAUGUAUGUGGACUUCGGUGUAAUCAAAUACCAGUGUUCAUG